UGGGGAAUAUUGGACAAUGGGCGCAAGCCUGAUCCAGCCAUGCCGCGUGAGUGAUGAAGGCCUUAGGGUUGUAAAGCUCUUUCGUCCGGGACGAUAAUGACGGUACCGGAAGAAGAAGCCCCGGCUAACUUCGUGCCAGCAGCCGCGGUAAUACGAAGGGGGCUAGCGUUGUUCGGAAUCACUGGGCGUAAAGGGCGCGUAGGCGGCUUGAUAAGUCGGGGGUGAAAGCCUGUGGCUCAACCACAGAAUUGCCUUCGAUACUGUCGAGCUUGAGACCGGAAGAGGUAAGUGGAACUGCGAGUGUAGAGGUGAAAUUCGUAGAUAUUCGCAAGAACACCAGUGGCGAAGGCGGCUUACUGGUCCGGUUCUGACGCUGAGGCGCGAA
rnacentral:rRNA from 1 species